rnacentral:rRNA from 1 species
AAUGAACGCUGGCGGCGCGCCUAAUACAUGCAAGUCGAGCGAGAAGACGUAGCAAUACGUUUGUAAAGCGGCGAACGGGUGAGGAAUACAUGGGUAACCUACCCUAGAGUGGGGAAUAACUAGCCGAAAGGUUAGCUAAUACCGCGUACGCUCCUUGGACUUCGGUUCAGGGAGGAAAGCGAUGCCGAGGGUAUCGCGCUCUUGGAUGGGCUCAUGUCCUAUCAGCUUGUUGGGAGGUAACGGCUCACCAAGGCUUCGACGGGUAGCUGGUCUGAGAGGACGAUCAGCCACACUGGCACUGCGACACGGGCCAGACUCCUACGGGAGGCAGCAGUAAGGAAUAUUGCACAAUGGGCGAAAGCCUGACGCAGCGACGCCGC